rnacentral:rRNA from 1 species
UACGUAGGGGGCGAGCGUUUGUCCGGAGUUACUGGGCGUAAAGCGCACGCAGGCGGUCUGCUAAGUUUGGAGUGACAGUUGGUGGCUUAACUGCCAAAGUGCUUCGAAAACUGACAGACUUGAGGGCUUCAGAGGGACACGGAAUUCCGGGUGGAGUGGUGAAAUGCGUAGAGAUCCGGAGGAACGCCAAAGGCGAAGGCAGUGUCCUGGGGAGUACCUGACGCUCAGGUGCGAAAGCCAGGGGAGCGAACGGG